GAGAAAUUAUGGCAUAUUGCAUAUUGCUGGGCCCAGCACCCUUAUGAUGUGACUCUUCUGCCCAUGACAGAGCCACCGAAUAUACAUCGACAUAUCUUUGGCCCAUUAUGUGAUGUGGUGCCAAAUACCUGAGACCAAAUCAAAGGCCUUAUGAUGACUCUUGUACCUGGAGCCAGGAGGAGCAGGCUGUGUCCUCAAAUAGGAUUCUAACAUAUCUUUGGACCCAUCAUCUAGGUUAUGUGACUCUCCUCUCCUGCAUGAACACUGCUUCCAAUGAAGAGUGUAGAGUUUGUAAGCACUGAAUCCAAAUGGCCUGAUUUUAUUGUCUAGGCCUUUCAACAGGAGGCAAUGUGACAUACGUCUGGCACCAUCAUUUAGGUGAUAUGACUCUCUUCUCCUGCCUGGACAGUCUCCACAAGAAGCAUUAUGUCAUACAGCUGGGCCCAGUGCCCAAGUUUUGUGACUUUUCUAUUACACGUCUGUAAAGAAAAUAUUGGAAUAUUUCUGGCUUAGAAUUUAUGUGAUGUGUUUGUCCUGCUUGUUUAAGAACCACAGAGGUGAAGUUGACAUAUACCUAUGCACAGCUAACAGGCAUGAUAAUGACUGUCAUAUGUGGAUCAAGCCAAUAGAAAUUUUGCCUUUGCCAAGCACCUGUGUGAUUUCACUCUUCAGACUGGAUGCUGCUGUAUAUGAGACUUUGAUAUCUACUUGGACCAAACUUGGAGUGAUGUGACACUUCUGCCUGGGCCCUGCUCUCAAGCCUUGUCUACUGGUGACAUUGGGCCAUAUCUCUGAGUCAAAGACGUUUGUGAUGUGACUCUUCUCUUCUGUCUGGGCUUUUCGAAUUGGAAGAUUGUGACAUGUUACUUUUCUCCCUAGGUUGUGCACAAAUUGGAAAUUGUGGCAUAUUGCUUAUCCCAGCAACCUAAUAAUGUGACUCUUCUGCUUGUGACAGAGCCACAGAAAAUACUUUGACUUUACUUUGGUUCAUUUUGUAAGUGUUUUGGCUCUCAUAACUUUGCUGGGUUUCUUCCAUCUGUGGUUGUAUCAUAUUGCUGGCUCCAGCCUUUAGUUAAUGUGAUCCUGUCUCCUAGUUGCUGCUUAAAAGUGUGACAUAUUGCUUAGUAAAGCACCUAAG
rnacentral:lncRNA from 1 species